CUAGUUCUCGUACGAUCACCGAAGUUAAGCAACGUCGAUCCUGUUUGGUACCUAGAUGGGUGACCGCCUCAAAAUACCAGGUGCUGUAAG